UUGACGACGACCAGAGUGACAACAAAAAGCAGACGCCAAUAAAUAGAGGAAUAGAGAGAAACAGAGCGUCUGCUGAACGCAAAAACGGUUGAAACGUGUCCUCUUCGCGGGAUCUGACAGCUGCCUGACGCCAGUGCAUACAUACUGGCUGAUCGUUGAUCGAUGGCGAGUAACGAAGAGGCCGAGGUCGUUCCCGCAAAGGGCGGUGCUGUGUCGAGCUGCUGACCCAUUGCGAGCCCUGUGAUGGUGAAGUGGACCAGGUGACCUGCACAAUCGUUCAUAAUAUCAACAUGGUAACCAUAAAAUAACAGACCUUCCCCGUAGAGUUUCAACCGCCUGAACGCCUACUGAAAUGAGGAGCAAUUUGUUGGUUCAUUCAAUUAGUGAUCGCUGCUUAAAACGAAGUAAAGCUGCUCAAAAUGCUGUAUUGCACUAUAAAGACGACACUGGCAAAAAAAACAACGAUGCAAUUCUCGUUGGCUGAAAUUCUCAAGCAUAGUAAAGAACCGAAAAGCUCCAGCUAAAAAGUCAACAUGCCUGCUACCAACGUUGCAUGGCCAGAGCAAGCAACUUUUGUUAGCAAACAAGGCCAGGAGACACGAACUGAUAUUUAGAGGCCUAGGCAUCGCCAAUGGAGAUAGUUAAUGCAAAUGACUAGGACAUAGCCCUAAUGGCGAAUUAAGUCACUAGUUAGGUAUACAUACAUCGCGGAUACUUGUGUCCAGUGGUACGUCAACGAGGCUAGCAAUAUGUCUGAAGGUACGCUGUAGGUGGAACUUACCCAAGGAAGGUGAUCAAUCCCAAUUUGAAUGUGUUAGCAUUACCCCAACUAUCAAUAAUGCUAACUAGUCCUAUAUAUAUAUAUAUAUAUAUAUAUAUAUAUCAUACGUAUGUACAUACAGAGUGGGCUAAACGUUCCUAACGUUUGAUGAACAGUCGAACAAUCGAACGCACCGUGUACACACAUACGCCUGUGUAAUAGUCCUUCGACUUGAAAAUUCUCGAUAGCUGAUUUAGAUACACAGAGCAGACAGACAAUGUCUCUACGUCGACUACGUUAGAACUAUGAGACAUCUCCGUAAAGGUGAUAUUUGUUGCAAAGAGUUCUAAGAUAGCCUGACACGUAACUUGUGCUUUGAUGAUCUACGAUAAAAAUUAGUGAUACCUGACAGUUUUCGAAUAAGUGACGACACGAAAUAGUCGGCGCUACUCCGAUCCCACCGUUGCUGAGAUUAUUAUUUUAGUAAAAGUUUAGUUGGACGGCCAAUGAAAGCAACCAGGUACUUCGAAAGGAUCGAUAGACAGAAGGGAAAAUGUUGUCUGAAUGCUAUAUGUAACAUGUAGGUAUAAGCCAUUUUUAUGAUCGUGGCUGUGAGCGGCGUCAAACUGCCGCCCGGUGAUAGCAUUAGUCUAGCAAAGCAUCGUAAUACAGUACUGCAAUAGACAGUAGAUAAUAUUCGAUGCAGUGAUCUGUCGAUACUGUGACAGGACGAUAGCCUACGCUCGUCACUCACUUAAUUUUAACCAUUUGUCGUAACUUUUGCCAACGAUGAAUGUAGCACCAAUUUCCCUGAGGGGAUGACAAUCAAAUUCUACCAUACAACAUUUAGCAUUUUGUCGCAUUUACUUUCGUUUACUUCGUUCUUUUCAUACGCCCGUACCGUACAGGGGAGCGUAAGAACUAAGAAUGUAUCUACACUCACGAGCCGACUGAAGCUUCUGGGACAUCGAGCGUAGUUGGUGACAGCUCCUCCUUCUGCAUUCAAGAGACGCUUACCUGUUGUCCUUAGGACGUCCAUCAUUUUUGAACGUCAGCGACAUAUUAUACAAUCCGCACUGGCCUUUUCUGCAAAACGUAAACACUUCAACGGUAUCGCUCUGUGGUUCCCUAUGAAACAGGCGCAAAACUCAAAUAGCAGAUUUCAACGUUUUUGCAUAGCUCGUCUUAAUUCAAUUUUCAGUUCCGCCGGUACAACACUAUCCCUGUUACUCUUUUAUCUUUCAAUCUACUCGAUUCGCCUAGAUUGAUCGAUCCAUAUUUUGCUAUCACUAUUAUCAGUAGCGGAAUCAUUAUCGUGCGACAACACACGUUACGUAUUCGCUGCUGAGUUCUGUGACGUUAUUGCCACUGGUUGAUUGCGUUAUGAUUGAUUAGCGAAUCGUGCGAACAACGCUCAUCACAAUCGAUUUCACUUAGCUCAUAGUUAGAUGAGGCAUAAUCCGUGAACGAUGAGCUGAAGGCGAGCGUCGGUGCCGAUGACGAGCAUGACGAUUUUUUACUUCCCAACACUUAACUGGUUAAUAAGAAAUCGACGGAAACCUGUAGACCUCGAUCGAUUUAGUUCUAUGUGAGAUAUUCUAGCGUACUUGACCGGAAGCCGCAAACAGACGUACCUGGACGAAAGUACUCACUCGCAAAGUUAAGGUCCAGACUGCCAUUAGCUGAGAGGUAGCCAAUAGUGCUGAACUGUUCAAUUCUUUCAGUUUGGCGGCGGGUUGGCUUGGACGUCGAAGAAUAGACCUGGCUAAGAGGUCACUCGUUGAGCUUUGCCAGCGACAUACACUAUAGUGAUUUAUUACACCGGGGACCGCUGUUAUUGUCGAUAGUUUAUUGUGCUUGUUAUUAUAACUAUUCUAGGCCCGGUGUGGUGCAUAGAACUAACUUGGAGAUGCUAUCUCGCCUGAAACACAAAUCAACCAAUGAUUAUAUUUCGGGCAAUAAAAGCUCGCUAGUUCGUUACAUGCCACAUAUCUAUCGACGUGUGUGUCUGAAUGUUUGCUAUUUCAUACCGUUAUUGUAGACGUUUUCUCCUCAUAUGAUAUUGAUCUAUAUUCAAUACCCUAGGAUGUUACUAUGGCUGUUGUUUUUAUUGUUCUCUUGCUGCUGCUGCUGCUGCUGCUGCUGUGUCCUUCACUGUUGCCUUUACUGGCCAAAGGACACCUUGCCGUCGUUUGUAAACCCGCUGAUGACAACAAAUCAUGAAGCAACAUCCAAUAAAGCGGUUCGUGAUAACGUUUAUAGUGACUUCUCAUCAGUCAGUGUUGUGGACCGUCACAUACUUUUUGUCUCUAUAAGAUCUAUUAUCGAUGACAUUUUCUAUGGAUUUGAUUAUUUCGUUCCUUUGGUUCGCCCAGUUUCUUCGGUGUCAUAGGAAAUUAACAGAAAGAAAUAUAUACGUAUAUGUUAAUAACAAUUCAUUUGUGUAUAGCGAAAGUAAGAAAAUUGAAUCCGACACUCAAUAAUAGAAGUUAAAUUCGGUUCAGACAGAAGAGCCAUCUCGUAUAUGUUGUAACGCCACCAGUUCAUCGAACCCGGGCUGAUAAGACUAGAUUAGAGCGAUGUGUGUGUGAAGCAAAAAAUUUUUUGUAUAUACAUAUCCCUAUGACGACGAUCUAUUACCGACAACACAAUUGUCU